AGAAAGCCUGGCAGAGAGCAACCGAGAGCGUCCCGUCACGGCUGUCGGUGAGAGCUACCCAGGGCCUCGGGACAGGACUCGGGCCGGGAGGCGGGUGAGGAGGAGGUGACUGCCCUGCGGCCCGGACCCCGAAUUGGGACCUGAAUCUAGGCCGGGUCAGUGUACUGCCCUGUGCCAUACCUGGACUAAAUUAACUGCUCUCCACCUCCGCUUUCCCAUCUAGGAUAAGAGACCGACUGCACAGAUGAAAGACAACUUACACUACGGAAGCGCAGGCAGCCUGGCAGAGUCCUUAAGGACUCUACGUACUGUAGCUGCCUCAAAAAUUAAUUUAUAAGGGACAAUAAUGCUAAGAAGUUUAAAUCGCUGCAGUGAUCCUAAUAACUGAAUACUUCAUAGUUGCUCAUUUUCCAUAGAAUAAAACUAUUUCUGAGUUUAAGCUAUCACAAUGCUUGAUUAAAGGUUACAUAAACCAUCUUCUAACAAAGUACACCUGGAUUCAUGGAAAACAAAACCACUCUCAACUGCCAGCCAGCAAAACGGUGGGGCCUCCCUCCCCCGUGAGCGUGUCACAGUCACCGUCCCUGGGGUCAGAACAGAAGGACUCAUUCCUGAGAGCCUGGACACCGAACCGCUGCCUUGCUGGACCCUUCUCCGCACAGUGCCGUGCUUACACACCCAAACCCCAGGCUCUGAAACGUUUUUUCUUGGCACGACACACAGCAGCCGCUCAGCAGGCGCUGUGCUGCUGAGCUAAAUCUCCAGCCCCAGUACUGCUGAAUUAAAGAGGAACACAAUCGAUCGCAGCUCUCCUUCACUCCUCCCCUCCUCACCCCGUCUCCGCUGGCUACUGUGUCGGUCUUGCUUGGCAGAGUCCCGCCCAACCGCCCCGACCCCUUCCACACACCCCACCAGACCCCAGGAGACGCCACGCCCCUGGAUUAGCUCCCGAGGGCCUGCCAGUGUUACCGGGUCUUAAUGUGGCCUGGAGGCCUGGCCUGGCUCCUGUCUGCCCUACCAGUGUCCCCAAACCCGCUGUCACCGCUCCUUCACAGAACCGCUUUCCUUCACAAUAAAGCAACUGUUCACAUGA